GCGCGUGGGGCGACGGGGUCGCACCGGUCGAUCUGACCGACCCCGCGGAGACCGCCGACGUGCUGGCGACCAUCGCGCCGCAGGCGCUC
rnacentral:tRNA from 1 species